rnacentral:rRNA from 1 species
GACGAACGCUGGCGGCGUGCUUAACACAUGCAAGUCGGACGGAAAGGCCCUGCUUUUGUGGGGUGCUCGAGUGGCGAACGGGUGAGUAACACGUGAGUAACCUGCCCUUGACUUUGGGAUAACUUCAGGAAACUGGGGCUAAUACCGGAUAGGAGCUCCUGCUGCAUGGUGGGGGUUGGAAAGUUUCGGCGGUUGGGGAUGGACUCGCGGCUUAUCAGCUUGUUGGUGGGGUAGUGGCUUACCAAGGCUUUGACGGGUAGCCGGCCUGAGAGGGUGACCGGCCACAUUGGGACUGAGAUACGGCCCAGACUCCUACGGGAGGCAGCAGUGGGGAAUAUUGCACAAUGGGCGGAAGCCUGAUGCAGCAACGCCGCGUGCGGGAUGACGGCCUUCGGGUUGUAAACCGCUUUCGCCUGUGACGAAGCGUGAGUGACGGUAAUGGGUAAAGAAGCACCGGCUGACUACGUGCCAGCAGCCGCGGUGAUACGUAGGGUGCGAGCGUUGUCCGGAUUUAUUGGGCGUAAAGGGCUCGUAGGUGGUUGAUCGCGUCGGAAGUGUAAUCUUGGGGCUUAACCCUGAGCGUGCCUUCGAUACGGGUUGACUUGAGGAAGGUAGGGGAGAAUGGAAUUCCUGGUGGAGCGGUGGAAUGCGCAGAUAUCAGGAGGAACACCAGUGGCGAAGGCGGUUCUCUGGGCCUUUCCUGACGCUGAGGAGCGAAAGCGUGGGGAGCGAACAGGCUUAGAUACCCUGGUAGUCCACGCUGUAAACGGUGGGUACUAGGUGUGGGGUCCAUUCCACGGGUUCCGUGCCGUAGCUAACGCUUUAAGUACCCCGCCUGGGGAGUACGGCCGCAAGGCUAAAACUCAAAGGAAUUGACGGGGCCCCGCACAAGCGGCGGAGCAUGCGGAUUAAUUCGAUGCAACGCGUAGAACCUUACCUGGGUUUGACAUGGAUCGGGAGUGCUCAGAGAUGGGUGUGCCUCUUUUGGGGUCGGUUCACAGGUGGUGCAUGGCUGUCGUCAGCUCGUGUCGUGAGAUGUUGGGUUAAGUCCCGCAACGAGCGCAACCCUUGUUCACUGUUGCCAGCACGUUAUGGUGGGGACUCAGUGGAGACCGCCGGGGUCAACUCGGAGGAAGGUGGGGAUGACGUCAAGUCAUCAUGCCCCUUAUGUCCAGGGCUUCACGCAUGCUACAAUGGCUGGUACAGAGAGUGGCGAGCCUGUGAGGGUGAGCGAAUCUCGGAAAGCCGGUCUCAGUUCGGAUUGGGGUCUGCAACUCGACCUCAUGAAGUCGGAGUCGCUAGUAAUCGCAGAUCAGCAACGCUGCGGUGAAUACGUUCCCGGGGCU